GGAUCAAUAUGUCGGUCGUGCCAUCGGUACGCACUGGUAUCAUUGGUUUCUCCUUUCUGACGAACCAUGAUGUCAUUAAUUUGGUGUUAUGGGGAGUUAGGACUGUUACUUUGAAAAAAUUAGAGUGUUUAAAGCAGGCUUUAGCUUGAAUACGUUAGCAUGGAAUAAUGAAAUAGGACGUUCGAACCUAUUUUGUUGGUUUCUAGGAUUGACGUA
rnacentral:rRNA from 1 species